AAAUUGAAGAGUUUGAUCAUGGCUCAGAUUGAACGCUGGCGGCAGGCCUAACACAUGCAAGUCGAACGGUAACAGGAAGCAGCUUGCUGCUUUGCUGACGAGUGGCGGACGGGUGAGUAAUGUCUGGGAAACUGCCUGAUGGAGGGGGAUAACUACUGGAAACGGUGGCUAAUACCGCAUAACGUCGCAAGACCAAAGAGGGGGACCUUCGGGCCUCUUGCCAUCAGAUGUGCCCAGGUGGGAUUAGCUAGUUGGUGAGGUAACGGCUCACCAAGGCGACGAUCCCUAGCUGGUCUGAGAGGAUGACCAGCCACACUGGAACUGAGACACGGUCCAGACUCCUACGGGAGGCAGCAGUGGGGAAUAUUGCACAAUGGGCGCAAGCCUGAUGCAGCCAUGCCGCGUGUAUGAAGAAGGCCUUCGGGUUGUAAAGUACUUUCAGCGGGGAGGAAGGUGUUGUGGUUAAUAACCGCAGCAAUUGACGUUACCCGCAGAAGAAGCACCGGCUAACUCCGUGCCAGCAGCCGCGGUAAUACGGAGGGUGCAAGCGUUAAUCGGAAUUACUGGGCGUAAAGCGCACGCAGGCGGUCUGUCAAGUCGGAUGUGAAAUCCCCGGGCUCAACCUGGGAACUGCAUUCGAAACUGGCAGGCUUGAGUCUUGUAGAGGGGGGUAGAAUUCCAGGUGUAGCGGUGAAAUGCGUAGAGAUCUGGAGGAAUACCGGUGGCGAAGGCGGCCCCCUGGACAAAGACUGACGCUCAGGUGCGAAAGCGUGGGGAGCAAACAGGAUUAGAUACCCUGGUAGUCCACGCCGUAAACGAUGUCUACUUGGAGGUUGUGCCCUUGAGGCGUGGCUUCCGGAGCUAACGCGUUAAGUAGACCGCCUGGGGAGUACGGCCGCAAGGUUAAAACUCAAAUGAAUUGACGGGGGCCCGCACAAGCGGUGGAGCAUGUGGUUUAAUUCGAUGCAACGCGAAGAACCUUACCUGGUCUUGACAUCCACGGAAGUUUUCAGAGAUGAGAAUGUGCCUUCGGGAACCGUGAGACAGGUGCUGCAUGGCUGUCGUCAGCUCGUGUUGUGAAAUGUUGGGUUAAGUCCCGCAACGAGCGCAACCCUUAUCCUUUGUUGCCAGCGAUUAGGUCGGGAACUCAAAGGAGACUGCCAGUGAUAAACUGGAGGAAGGUGGGGAUGACGUCAAGUCAUCAUGGCCCUUACGACCAGGGCUACACACGUGCUACAAUGGCGCAUACAAAGAGAAGCGACCUCGCGAGAGCAAGCGGACCUCAUAAAGUGCGUCGUAGUCCGGAUUGGAGUCUGCAACUCGACUCCAUGAAGUCGGAAUCGCUAGUAAUCGUGGAUCAGAAUGCCACGGUGAAUACGUUCCCGGGCCUUGUACACACCGCCCGUCACACCAUGGGAGUGGGUUGCAAAAGAAGUAGGUAGCUUAACCUUCGGGAGGGCGCUUACCACUUUGUGAUUCAUGACUGGGGUGAAGUCGUAACAAGGUAACCGUAGGGGAACCUGCGGUUGGAUCACCUCCUUA
rnacentral:rRNA from 1 species